GGCAAAUGCUGCAUAAAAUAGUUAUGUAGAGGAAAGUCCAUGCUCGCACAGACUGAGAUGUCUGUAGUGUUUGUGCUUAGGGAAAAAAUAACCUAGGAGAACGAAAGUUUAUGGCUUCGAGGAAACCUUAAAUGGUUUUAUUAGAUAUAAAAGUGCCAAAGAGACGAGUUACAAGGGAAACUUUGUAGGUGGAACGUGGUAAACCCCGCAAGCGAGAAACCCAAAUUAUGGUAGGGGAGCUUAAAGAAAGAAAUGAAUUUACUUUAGGUACAGUAAUGUAAGAUAAAUAUUUGCCUCUUCUUUAUGAAGAACAAAACAUGGCUUAUU
rnacentral:RNase_P_RNA from 1 species